CGCCCGGCCGAGGUUGGAGUCGUUCCGGACCGACACGUCAGCAGGGGCGCGGAGGGGCUGCAGGAAGACCUCCCGGCGGAGGCGCGACCUCUGUCUGCAGUCGCGAAGGAUUCUCCUCUGGGCUGCCUGGCAACCGGAAUUCUGUAUCUUCUCCCUCGCCCAAUCGCCUGCCUUCGCCCUGUCCCUUCGCUGUCGACCCUCUGCGUGACUCCACGCGUCGCUCACCUUUAUCUACGCACUUGAGUCCCCCAGCUGUGCGCCAUCCCGACAGGUCCUUCCCGGUGUCUUCUCGUGGCUUCUCAUUUCUGUGUAAGCUUCUGAAAUACACCCAGAAUCUGAUCACUUCUUAUCAUCUCCUCAUCCAACACUGCAGGCCAAACCACCACCAUCUCUCACCUGAACAAUUUGCAAAACCCUUCUACCAGCCCAUAAGAAAUCAAAAGAACAUCUAGAAGGCCUAACACUCAAAUUACCAAGAAGACCCCAGUCUAUUGCUGAUGACGAAACCACUUGGUGUCCAGAGAAUGGUCUAAAACAUGUAUCUGAGGACUACAGCAGUCAUCCAAUAUUAGGUAAC